AACUAUUCGGUUGAUAUAAGGGAGUAAAUAGCCUUAUAAAUUACAAAGUCAUAAAAUCAUUUCUUACAUGCAAAGAGGAGAAAUAUGACUCAAAUUGUUAAGUAUGUUUAUGUGAUAAUUAUCUUUUUAUUCCUAUUUCUUAGUUCAACAAAUGUUGAAGCAAUCCAACAUACGUGUUUUAGAGAUUCAGAUUGUCCCAAUAAUUGUCCAAGACCUAAGAUCAUGAAGUGUAUCCACAACUCCAAAUGCUACUGUAAGAUGCCAGGAUAUAUUCCACCUCCAUGAUUCUGUAUUUUUAUCCAUACCCAAUAGAGUUUUUCUUUAUGGUGAAGUUAUAAGUAUGGUGAUUCGUAGUAGUUUUUAUUAUUUUUUGUGUUUGUAUUUAUGUUUUUCUAUUUUUAUUGUAUUUUCUUGAUUUCUCGACUGUAGUCUUUUAUACUUUUUGUGUUAUUUUUGCGCACUUAUAUUAUGUUGGAUUCAUUCCUCUU